rnacentral:rRNA from 1 species
UACAGAGGUGGCAAACGUUGUCCGGAUUUAUUGGGUGUAAAGGGCAUGUAGGUGGUCUUGUAAGUCAAAGGUGAAAUGGCCCGGCUCAACCAGGUCAUUGCCUUUGAAACUGCAGGGCUUGAGUACGGCAGAGGAGAGCGGAAUUCCCAGUGUAGCGGUGAAAUGCGUAGAUAUGUGGAGGAACACCGGUGGCGAAGGCGGCUCUCUGGUCCGAAACUGACACUGAGGUGCGAAAGCGAGGGGAGCAAACGGG